UGCGGCAUACUUCUCGCCAACUGAGCAACAGCUUCUAAUGGAAACAUAUGAAGAGAACAAGCGUGUCUGGCCAAAAAAGGACCUGGCAGCAAGUACAAGAACAUUUUGCAGGCUGCAUUGAAAAAAAAGGCUCAUAUAUCUGGCACGGGGGGUGGCCCUCCAACCCAAGACUUGACCACAGCAGAGGAGCUGGCCCUGGAGAUGAAUAAAGGGAAGCCAGUGAUGGAAGGGACACAGUGAGGGACAGCCACUGACUCUGACCCAGCAAGAGA